rnacentral:rRNA from 1 species
GACGAACGCUGGCGGCGUGCUUAACACAUGCAAGUCGAACGGAAAGGCCCUGCUUUUGUGGGGUGCGCGAGUGGCGAACGGGUGAGUAACACGUGAGUAACCUGCCCUUGACUUUGGGAUAACUUCAGGAAACUGGGGCUAAUACCGGAUAGGAGCUCCUGCUGCAUGGUGGGGGUUGGAAAGGUUCGGCGGUUGGGGAUGGACUCGCGGCUUAUCAGCUUGUUGGUGGGGUAGUGGCUUACCAAGGCUUUGACGGGUAGCCGGCCUGAGAGGGUGACCGGCCACAUUGGGACUGGGAUACGGCCCAGACUCCUACGGGAGGCAGCAGUGGGGAAUAUUGCACAAUGGGCGGAAGCCUGAUGCAGCACCGCCGCGUGCGGGAUGACGGCCUUCGGGUUGUAACCCGCUUUCGCAUGUGACGAAGCGUGAGUGACGGUAAUGGGUAAAGAAGCACCGGCUAACUACGUG